GGUGCUAAUACCGCAUAACCAUCAAAACCGCCUGGUUUUGAUGUUAAAGAUGGUUCUGCUAUCCCUUUAAGAUGGACCCGCGGCGUAUUAGCUAGUUGGUGAGGUAAUGGCUUACCAAGGCAAUGAUACGUAGCCGAACUGAGAGGUUGAUCGGCCGCAUUGGGACUGAGACACGGCCCAAACUCCUACGGGAGGCAGCAGUAGGGAAUCUUCCACAAUGGACGAAAGUCUGAUGGAGCAACGCCGCGUGAGUGAAGAAGGUUUUCGGAUCGUAAAACUCUGUUGUCAGAGAAGAACGUGUGUGAGAGUAACUGUUCACGCAGUGACGGUAUCUGACCAGAAAGUCACGGCUAACUACGUGCCAGCAGCCGCGGUAAUACGUAGGUGGCAAGCGUUGUCCGGAUUUAUUGGGCGUAAAGGGAACGCAGGCGGUCUUUUAAGUCUGAUGUGAAAGCCUUCGGCUUAACCGAAGUCGGGCAUUGGAAACUGGGAGACUUGAGUGCAGAAGAGGAGAGUGGAACUCCAUGUGUAGCGGUGAAAUGCGUAGAUAUAUGGAAGAACACCAGUGGCGAAAGCGGCUCUCUGGUCUGUAACUGACGCUGAGGUUCGAAAGCGUGGGUAGCAAACAGGAUUAGAUACCC
rnacentral:rRNA from 1 species